GGAGGCCCAAGGGACAGUACCCGACAGCAGUGGAUGGCAGUACAGCUACCGUGGUCCAAGAACACAUGAGCGCCCGGGACCGGAGCGUCCCUCACCACGGAGCAGCGGACCCUUGAUCUCAGGAGGUGACAGCCAGCCAACUGUAGGCAUUGGUUAAACUAUCCCUCCUAAGUAUGCUCCCUGACAGAAAUGUCACCCCAGGGAAAUGUUGCUGGACUUGUUGGUCUCUACCUUUAACCCUCAGCCCUUAGCAGCCACACAAAUGAUACAACCAGCCCGGGACUGCAUCAAAUCUCAAUGGACAUUGUGCUUCCAUUUUUCAUUUUGACUGCACUCUCAUACUCACUACAAGAGAUGAAUAAACCAGUCACACUAAUUUAGCACGAUACCCACUGCACAUAACUGACUAAAACCAUGCCUAGCAAUUAUUCCUGUAUGAAAACAAACUAUAUACACAUAAUCUGAAAAUGAGUACCCAGUGGUUCCCACACUUAAGAGUUAAUCGUUUUACAAACACACACUAAUCCUCUGCUAACACACAUAUAUCUUAUAAGCUAACUAAAAGUUGAAGCAAGGUGUUACUACUAGUGUUUGACUACCAUAAAUUAGCAUGACCUUUAUUACUGAACACACUUGCUUAUCACCUGGCAUUAAUAGCACCAGCUGGUUAACAUAUAGAACAGAGCAGCUCAUGUCACAGUUUACGCAAAGCUUUAUCUUGUAUCUUGCAUACUCCUGCUAAAAAGUUGCUAUAAUGCCUAUAAGCACACUAAAUAUACAAACAAGUCUUUAAGCAUGUUGUUACACCUACUUAAAAAUUGUGCAUGUCUUUCUCACUGCCCUACUACAUGUUAACUAUGUAUUGCGAAUCUACUGUCAUUGGCCGUUGGGGCAUGACAAAAAUGUGUAUAUUUCUCUGCACUACAAAAUAAAGAAUUAAAAAAAAAAAAAAAAUAGUUGGUCUUCCACCCAUAGGGUCGGGAGAUCAGGUUGACCAGAUCCACCAUGUUUUCUGGGACACAUUUCAUAUAUACAUAUUAAUGGGCAGCACAUGAAAAGAUGUAGCCCUGUAAUUAGAGAUGUCGCGAACUGUUUGCGAAAUUUGCGCGAAUGGUUUCGUGGCGAACUCCGGUCAGCUGACACAGCCCGGCCAAUCUCCAGCAGACCCUCCCUCCCAGACCCUCCCACCUCCUGGACAGCAUCCAUGUUGAAGCCCAACAUGGAUGCUGUCCAGGAGGUGGGAGGGUCUGGGAGGGAGAAUCUGCUGGAGAUUGGCCGGGCUGUGUCAGCUGACCGGAGUUCGCCGCGAACGGUUCGUGGCGAAGCGCGGCGAACCGUUCGCGCAAAGUUCGUGAACGGUUCGCGACAUCUCUACCUGUAAUAUGUAGAAUUCAGAAGAAGGUGUAUAAAAUUAAGAAAUUAGACAAUGAAUAACCCUGUUAUUAAACAAUUCAGCAAUGAAGAAUCGUGCAGAAUAUGCAUUAUACAUGCUGCAGGCAACCGAUUUUAUGCCUUUUCACAAAUAUUACAAAUUUAAAUGUGUCCCUGUAAACAUAGUGGAUCUGGUCACCCUGGGGGAGAUCCCCACAAAAAUCUCCAAAAGACAAGGCGUAAAAUAAUAGUCUUUAUUGGAACAUUAUAUGCAGAAGAAUUAGCUCAAGCAAAGGGGCAGAAGUGAUAGGGUGAGUGUGCCGACUGACGCUCUCAGCCAAUCAACGUGGCAUUUCUAGCUAACAAAAAAUCCAGGCAGAGACCUAUUUCACUAUAAUUAUUACAUUCUCCUUAUCACUAGGAUUUACACCUCAUUCCUGCCCUUCUCUUUUUCGUUAUAUGUCCCCGCUCAUACAGGCACCUCCUUUACUUCCCGUCAUGACUGCCCCUCCCUAGAUCCCCAUCUCUUCAUCACAGCACCCUUCCACAGCUUCCCGGUACAAACUAACAGAAUGUUGACAGAAUGUGCUCUCUCCCAGAAUUCAUACUCCCACGUUGCUCAGCUGUCCUACAUUAAAGGACCACUCUAGGCACCCAGACCACUUCAGCUUAAUGAAGUGGUCUGGGUGCCAGGUCCAGCUAGGGUUAACCCAUUGUUUUAUAAACAUAGCAGUUUCAGAGAAACCCCCCAGGUGCUGUCUGGGUUCAAGGGAUAUACUGGGACCCGUGAUUGUCCAGCUGUGCUCUCAAUAAAGAAAAAUAGAGCGUAGAGAGAAGAAAAUAAACACUUUGAAAAACGGAGACUAUAAGAGAGACAAAAGGUGCGAAAGGAAAGGGGAUUACUAAGUUUACUUUUAGGUUCAUAUAAAAUUUAUAUUGAUUGUAAAGACUUUCAUAUUAAUGAAGAUAAUCUUUACUCCAGGAUCCUUCUCAGUGAAAUUAUAAUUGGUGAUGUCAUGCUGUGAUGUCAUAAACAUAACUGCUGAUGUAACUGCUUGAACAUUCUAUUUCUUCCCAGUUAUAACGGAGGCCCUGACAGAGUAUCACCUAGAUUCAUGGUUCUCCUACCUUCUCAAUGGCAUAGAGAUCUCUGCCUCACUUGGAUGUGUCUGAAGACUUGGAGCUUCACUACCCUCAAUCUGAU
rnacentral:lncRNA from 1 species